UACGUAGGGUGCAAGCGUUAUUCGGAAUUACUGGGCGUAAAGCGUGCGCAGGCGGUCUUGCAAGACAGGUGUGAAAUCCCCGGGCUUAACCUGGGAACUGCACUUGUGACUGCAAGGCUGGAGUACGGCAGAGGGGGAUGGAAUUCCGCGUGUAGCAGUGAAAUGCGUAGAUAUGCGGAGGAACACCGAUGGCGAAGGCAAUCCCCUGGGCCUGUACUGACGCUAAUGCACGAAAGCGUGGGGAGCAAACAGG
rnacentral:rRNA from 1 species